AAUGGUUCAGUAGGUAGAGCGGUGGCCUGCCAAGCCGAAGGUUGCGGGUUCAAUUCUUGC
rnacentral:tRNA from 1 species